rnacentral:rRNA from 1 species
UACGUAGGUGGCAAGCGUUGUCCGGAUUUACUGGGCGUAAAGAGCGCGCAGGCGGUCGUUCAAGUCGCGUGUGAAAGCCCCCGGCUCAACUGGGGAGGGUCACGCGAUACUGAUCGACUCGAAGGCAGGAGAGGGUAGUGGAAUUCCCGGUGUAGUGGUGAAAUGCGUAGAUAUCAGGAGGAACACCGAUGGCGAAGGCAGGUCUCUGGGCAUUAACUGACGCUGAGGAGCGAAAGCAUGGGGAGCGAACAGG